GGGGACGUAGCUCAGUUGGUAGAGCGCCUGCUUUGCACGCAGGAGGUCAUCGGUCCGAAUCCGAUCGUCUCCA
rnacentral:tRNA from 1 species